rnacentral:miRNA from 1 species
GGAGGAUCUCUUGAGCCUGGGAGAUGGAGGUUGCAGUGAGCUGAGAUCACACCAUUGCACUCCAGCCUGGGCAACAGAGCCAGACUCUGUCUC